rnacentral:rRNA from 1 species
AGUGAACGCUGGCGGCGUGCCUAACACAUGCAAGUCGAACGGAUCUUAAGGGCUUGCUCUUAAGGUUAGUGGCGCACGGGUGAGUAACACGUAGCUAACCUGCCCCAUAGUAAGGGACAACAGUUGGAAACGACUGCUAAUACCUUAUACUCCUUCUCUACCUAAGUAGAGUCGGGAAAGUUUUUUCGCUAUGGGAUGGGGCUGCGGCCUAUCAGCUUGUUGGGGAGGUAAUGGCUCACCAAGGCUAUGACGGGUAGCUGGUCUGAGAGGAUGAUCAGCCACAUUGGAACUGAGACACGGUCCAAACUCCUACGGGAGGCAGCAGUGGGGAAUUGUACACAAUGGGCGAAAGCCUGAUGUAGCAACGCCGCGUGGAGGAUGAAGGAUUUAGGUUCGUAAACUCCUUUUAUAAGGGAAGAAAUUUGACGGUACCUUAUGAAUAAGCACCGGCUAACCCCGUGCCAGCAGCCGCAGUAA